rnacentral:rRNA from 1 species
GAUGAACGCUAGCUACAGGCUUAACACAUGCAAGUCGAGGGGAAACGCCAUCGAAAGCUUGCUUUUGAUGGGCGUCGACCGGCGCACGGGUGAGUAACGCGUAUCCAACCUGCCCAUCACUUGGGAAUAACCUUGCGAAAGUAAGACUAAUACCCAAUGACAUCCCACGAAGACAUCUGAAUGGGAUUAAAGAUUUAUCGGUGAUGGAUGGGGAUGCGUCUGAUUAGCUUGUUGGCGGGGUAACGGCCCACCAAGGCAACGAUCAGUAGGGGUUCUGAGAGGAAGGUCCCCCACAUUGGAACUGAGACACGGUCCAAACUCCUACGGGAGGCAGCAGUGAGGAAUAGUGGUCAAUGGGCGAGAGCCUGAACCAGCCAAGUAGCGUGCAGGAGGACGGCCCUAUGGGUUGUAAACUGCUUUUAUAAGGGAAUAAAGUGGGUCUCGUGAGACUUUUUGCAUGUACCUUAUGAAUAAGGACCGGCUAAUUCCGUG